AUGGUUUCAUUAGAAUCGGGUUCUGUGGUGAAUCCCUCCGUGUCUCUGCUCCCUCCGUCUCCUCUGCAGCUGUCUGAAGGAUCGGCCUCGCUGCUCUGCCUGCUGUCUGGCUACUCUCCACAGGGGGCGCUGGUGAGCUGGACAGUGGACGGCUCAGAGGUGAACACCGGGGUUCUGACCAGUGCGGAAGAAGAGAAGAGUGGCCGUUACAGCCGCAGCAGCACCCUGACCCUCAGCAAAGACCUCUGGGAAAAGGGGGAGGAGUUCAGCUGUAAGGUCUCCCAUAACAACGCCAAUCAUCCAGUCACGUUCAGAAAGAGUCAGUGUGAAGGCUAGUGGAUCCAAGCUAGAGUUUAACAUAGAGCUGCUUAUCAUCCAUCCUAAAUAGAGUUUCAGUUCUACACAAUGCUGACAUUUCUGUCUUUACUCUCUUCACUGUCCUGUUGCUCUUCCUGUAGUUUUUGCUGAAAUAAAGCUGAGUUUUGGACGUUGUCUGUUCUUUUAUUCCAGUUAAUAGUGAUGAUCAGUGUGAUGAGAGAGUGGGAUUAGCUGUAGAUUCAGUGCUGUGUGUUGUGCUUCAGUGAGUUUGACUGAAGGAAGUUGAACAUCUGGUGAAAUUUCUGCUCUAUUCUGGGAGAAAUGAAACUCUUCAGUCCUGUUAAUGUAAAUCUCACUUCCUCCUCACUGCUCUCUCUUUAAGUGAGGAUUAAUAUGUAGGCUAUUAUUCUAAUUUUAUCUCUAUCAUGUUUGAAAGUUUAGUCUUCAAUCUUCACAUGAAACACAUUAAAGGUUCUAACUGCAGUCUGCUACAUUUUUUAUUUCCUGCAUCACUGAAUCUGCCUCUCUAAGAACUAUAGCACAUAUAACACCCCCCACACCCCACACCUUCCUGGUCCUGGUAAGAGUGUGAGAUGAUGAACUGGUACCUGUCUCUGUCUAUGGGAGGAUUAUGUUUUGUGAUUUGAUCCUUUAGUAACAGAAGGUCUAUCCUUGAACAAUAAAAUUAAUUACUACUUCUAAUUAGCAUAAAAUUUGAUC